CUCCAGAGAUGCUGCCUGACCCAUUGAGUUACUCCUGCACUUUGUAUCUAUGUACGGUAUAAACCUGCAUCUGCAGUUCUUUGUUUAUAGAUUUCCAAAACCAGUUCUGUAAAAAAAAAACACUUAUUCCAGUUACAACAGUGGCAUAAAGGAAAGUGCAGAGGAAACAACUGUUCUCACUUGUUCACCUGUGACACAAGUGUGAAUUUAUUCACGACGAAUCACCUUAAAUACAAAUCUUUCAAUGGCAUUCCUUUUAAAAGCAAUGCAGUGUCCUGGCUAACAUUUAUUCCUAAUCUACAAUGAAUGAUUAUCUGGCCAUUACCUGUCGCUGUAUGUAGGACAUGUUAUGCGCAAAUUGGCUGCAAAAAUUCCCACAUUAAAUUAGUGGCUGCAUUUCAAAAUGCUUAUUGGUUAUAAACCAUUUUGAUCAUUUGGAAAGCAGUUCAGAGAAGCCAAUAUCUUUCUUUGAAAAGCACUCUGUUUACAAAAUGAAACAGGUUUUGUCUCUGUUCUGCCCUCUAUCUACAAUUCAGGAGAUUGCAGUGGAAUUAUCUUUAAGAGGUCGCCGUCUAAAAAACUGCAUUGUCAGGUGACCUCUUCCGAGAAAAAUGAACUGGCCUCUUUAUUGGUUCACCCUGUGUAAUCUUUCACAAAAGCCGUUAACGUUAGUGCAUGCAUCAUAUUUCUGGUGAAAAACACUUUAUUGAAUGAAAUAAACCGUUAAAGAUUUACCUUUCAGGUUGAUUAUUUUGAUCAAAUUGAAUCAGUCUGAUGACUAACGAUUGAUGUUGAUGUUCCAUGAUUGAAAUGACUGAUUUCAGUUUUAUUUAUUCCAUGCUCCACUUAUUUGUUUGUCAUAUUUUGUGAAAUUUUAAAUAAAUUUACAUUUCAUUGAAUACUU